rnacentral:tRNA from 1 species
AGCGGGGUAGAGCAAUGGCAGCUCGUAUGGCUCAUAACCAUGAGGUUGUAGGUUCGAAUCCUACCCCCGCAACAA